GAAAUGAGUUCCACAGGUUAACUGUGCAUUGUAUGAAGACAUACUUCAUUUUUUUUGUUUUAAACGAACUGAUUAUUAAUUUCAUCGGAUGACCCCUGCAUCUUUUGUUGUGUGAAGGGGUAAGCAAGACUUCUCUAUUCACUUUCUCCACACCAUUCAUGACUUUAUAAUGUUUAUCAUAUU